AGAGUUUGAUCAUGGCUCAGGAUGAACGCUAGCUACAGGCUUAACACAUGCAAGUCGAGGGGCAUCAGGGUGUAGCAAUACACCGCUGGCGACCGGCGCACGGGUGAGUAACACGUAUCCAACCUGCCCUUUACUCGGGGAUAGCCUUUCGAAAGAAGAUUAAUACCCGAUGGCAUAACAUGACCUCCUGGUUUUGUUAUUAAAGAAUUUCGGUAGAGGAUGGGGAUGCGUUCCAUUAGGCAGUUGGCGGGGUAACGGCCACCAAACCUUCGAUGGAUAGGGGUUCUGAGAGGAAGGUCCCCCACAUUGGAACUGAGACACGGUCCAAACUCCUACGGAGGCA
rnacentral:rRNA from 1 species